rnacentral:tRNA from 1 species
GCCCAGGUGGCGAAAUUGGUAGACGCGCAUCCUUGAGGGGGAUGUGUCCUUCGGGACGUGCUGGUUCAACUCCAGUCCUGGGCACCA